GCCUGGGUGGCACAGUGGUUGAGCAUCUGCCUUCGGCUCAGAUCCUGAUCCCAGGGUCCUGGGAUCGAGUCCCAGGUCGGGUU
rnacentral:tRNA from 1 species